GAUGAAGAACGCAGCGAAAUGCGAUACUUGGUGUGAAUUGCAGAAUCCCAUGAACCAUCGAGUCUUUGAACGCAAGUUGCGCCUCAAGCCAUUAGGUUGAGGGCACGUCUGCCUGGGCGUCACAUAUCGUUGCCUGAUGCCAGUUUCCUCGUGAUGGGUGACUGUGCAGGGCGAAUGAUGGCUUCCCGUGAGCAUUGUUGCCUCAUGGUUGGUUGAAAAUUGAGUCCUUGGUAGGGAGCGCCGUGAUAGAUGGUGGUUGAGUGACGAACGAGACCCAAUCAUGUGAGACCCCUACCGAAUUUGGCCUUCAUGACCCACAUGCGUCUUUGGAACGCUCAUGACGAGACCUCAGGUCAGGCGGGGCUACCCGCUGAGUUUAAGCAUAUCAAUAAGCGGAGGA
rnacentral:misc_RNA from 1 species